rnacentral:rRNA from 1 species
UACGGAGGGUGCAAGCGUUAUCCGGAUUCACUGGGUUUAAAGGGUGCGUAGGCGGGCAGGUAAGUCAGUGGUGAAAUCUUUGGGCUUAACCCAAAAACUGCCAUUGAUACUAUCUGUCUUGAAUAUUGUGGAGGUGAGCGGAAUAUGUCAUGUAGCGGUGAAAUGCUUAGAUAUGACAUAGAACACCCAUUGCGAAGGCAGCUCACUACGCAUAUAUUGACGCUGAGGCACGAAAGCGUGGGGAUCAAACAGG